rnacentral:rRNA from 1 species
UAGGGAAUCUUCCACAAUGGGUGCAAACCUGAUGGAGCAAUGCCGCGUGAGUGAAGAAGGUCUUCGGAUCGUAAAGCUCUGUUGUUAGAGAAGAACACGUGCUAGGUAACUACUAGCGCCUUGACGGUAUCUAACCAGAAAGUCACGGCUAACUACGUGCCAGCAGCCGCGGUAAUACAUAGGUGACAAGCGUUGUCCGGAUUUAUUGGGCGUAAAGGGAGCGCAGGCGGUCUGUUUAGUCUAAUGUGAAAGCCCACGGCUUAACCGUGGAACGGCAUUGGAAACUGACAGACUUGAAUGUAGAAGAGGAAAAUGGAAUUCCAAGUGUAGCGGUGGAAUGCGUAGAUUUGAUAUUAGGAGAACACCAGUGGCGAAGGCGAUUUUUUGGUCUAACAUUGACGCUGAGGCUCGAAAGCGUGGGGAGCGAACAGGAUUAGAUACCCUGGUAGUCCACGCCGUAAACGAUGAGUGCUAAGUGUUGGGGGCUUUCCGGCCCUCGGUGCUGGAGCUAACGUAUUAAGCACUCCGCCUGGGGAUUACGACCGCAAGGUUG